rnacentral:rRNA from 1 species
GGCUCAGGAUGAACGCUGGCGGCGUGCUUAACACAUGCAAGUCGAACGAAGCACCUCUAAUCGAAGAUUGAGAAAGCUUGCUUUGAUUGAUUCACCUUGAGGUGACUGAGUGGCGGACGGGUGAGUAACGCGUGGGUAACCUACCCUAUACAGGGGGAUAACAGUUGGAAACGAUUGCUAAUACCGCAUAAGCGCACAGGACCGCAUGGUCUAGUGUGAAAAAACUCCGGUGGUAUAGGAUGGACCCGCGUCUGAUUAGCUAGUUGGUGAGGUAACGGCUCACCAAGGCGACGAUCAGUAGCCGACCUGAGAGGGUGACCGGCCACAUUGGGACUGAGACACGGCCCAAACUCCUACGGGAGGCAGCAGUGGGGAAUAUUGCACAAUGGGCGAAAGCCUGAUGCAGCGACGCCGCGUGAACGAAGAAGUAUUUCGGUAUGUAAAGUUCUAUCAGCAGGGAAGAAAAAUGACGGUACCUGACUAAGAAGCUCCGGCUAAAUACGUGCCAGCCGCUGC